rnacentral:rRNA from 1 species
UUGGAGGGCAAGUCUGGUGCCAGCAGCCGCGGUAAUUCCAGCUCCAAUAGCGUAUAUUAAGGUUGUUGCAGUUAAAAAGCUCGUAGUUGAAUUUCGAGAUCAGUACGCUGGUCGUGCCUUCGGUAUGCACUGGUGUCACUGGUUUCUCCCUUCUGAAGAACCGUCAUGUCAUUAAGUUGGUGUGGCGGGGAAUCAGGACUGUUACUUUGAAAAAAUUAGAGUGUUUAAAGCAGGCUCGCGCUUGAAUACAUUAGCAUGGAAUAAUGAAAUAGGACGUUUGACCCUAUUUUGUUGGUUUCUAGGAUCGACGUAAUGAUUAAUAGGGAUAGUUGGGGGCAUUAGUAUUCAAUUGUCAGAGGUGAAAUUCUUGGAUUUAUUGAAGACUAACUACUGCGAAAGCAUUUGCCAAGGAUAUUUUCAUUAAUCAAGAACGAAAGUUAGGGGAUCGAGGACGAUCAGAUACCGUCGUAGUCUUAACCAUAAACUAUGCCGACUAGGGAUCGGAUGAUGUUAAUUUUUUAAUGACUCAUUCGGCGCCUUACGGGAAAC